UCCCUGGAGGACUACUGGUUAGGCCACAGCACUCACACCGCUGGAGCUUGGGUUCGAUUCCCAGCCAGGGAA
rnacentral:tRNA from 1 species